GCCCGGGUGGCUCAAUGGUAGAGCGUUGGACUUCUAAUCCAAAGGCUGCGGGUUCGAGUCCCGCCUUGGGUG
rnacentral:tRNA from 2 species